UAAGGCCCACAAAGCGGUGAUCUGUUUGGGUCCUGUGACAUGGCCUCCUUCGACCUGCCUAUGGUACUCGCUCACUGACACCGCGUGCUGGAAAGUGAGAAGCCCUAGGAUUAAGGAGACCCUGUGUUGAGCCAUUAAACAUUACUGAUUUGAGGUGACGUGAAGAAUUUCAUUUUAAAGUGGUGCCUCGGAGGUCUGUUCAGUGGCAAAUACGUUAAAUUAAAGUCUUACAUUACACCGUGUAAGGGGGUCUGCUACAGCUGCCACCACGGUUCUAUACGCAAGGCAGGACAUUCCUUAGGAAGCUUUGAAGCCCCCUUAUUGUAACAGCUGUGGGGGGAAUAUUACCCUUGCAGGACCGAUGCUUAUACACAGUUAAUUAUUUCCCACUGAAAAAACACGGUGUUUAGCUAGAAAUGAAUGGAUCCAUACAUGCCAAUUAAACCAAACUCAUUCUUUCAUACUUUAAACAAAAAUAAAAUUAACAAAAAAAAUGUUCGAGGGCCCUCAGUUAAACGGGGGGUAAUUACGGCUGGGGAACGUAACCUGGAAGGUGAAAGAAGUUUUUAUUUUUUAUUUUUAAAGCACAUUCUCAUUUUGCUUAAA